rnacentral:rRNA from 1 species
GUAGGCAGCAAGCGUUGUUCGGAGUUACUGGGCGUAAAGGGUGUGUAGGCGGUCCCCUAAGUUUGGUGUGAAAUCUCCCGGCUCAACUGGGAGGGUGCGCCGAAAACUGGAGGGCUAGAGUACUGGAUGGGAGAGUGGAAUUCCUGGUGUAGCGGUGAAAUGCGUAGAUAUCAGGAGGAACACCUGUGGUGUAGACGGCUCUCUGGACAGUAACUGACGCUGAGACACGAAAGCGUGGGUAGCAAACAGGAUUAGAUACCCUGGUAGUCCACGCCCUAAACGAUGCAUAUUUGGUGUGGGCCAUUCAUUUGGUCUGUGCCGGAGCUAACGCGUCAAAUAUGCCGCCUGGGGAGUACGGUCGCAAGGCUG